GGAUGACAGACUGAGAGCUCUUUCUCGAUUCGGUGGGUGGUGGUGCAUGGCCGUUCUUAGUUGGUGGAGCGAUCUGUCUGGUUAAUUCCGAUAACGAACGAGACCCCAACCUGCUAACUAGCCCUCGGGUCUGGCUUCUGGCGGGCCCGACGGAAUGAUUCGCUUCUUAGAGGGACUCGCGGCGCCUAGCCGCACGAAGGGGGGCGAUAACAGGUCUGUGAUGCCCUUAGAUGUUCGGGGCUGCACGCGCGCUACACUGAAGGCAUCAGCGUGCGCUUUGUCCGUUCCCUGCCUGAAAAGGCUGGGUAACCCGCUGAACCGCCUUCGUGCCUGGGAUAGGGAUUUGCAAUUAUCUCCCUUGAACGAGGAAUUCCCAGUAGGCGCGAGUCAUCAGCUCGCGUCGAUUACGUCCCUCCCCCUUUGUAA
rnacentral:rRNA from 1 species